GAUCAUGGCUCAGAUUGAACGCUGGCGGCAGGCCUAACACAUGCAAGUCGAGCGGUAGCACAGAGAGCUUGCUCUCGGGUGACGAGCGGCGGACGGGUGAGUAAUGUCUGGGAAACUGCCUGAUGGAGGGGGAUAACUACUGGAAACGGUAGCUAAUACCGCAUAAUGUCGCAAGACCAAAGUGGGGGACCUUCGGGCCUCAUGCCAUCAGAUGUGCCCAGAUGGGAUUAGCUAGUAGGUGGGGUAACGGCUCACCUAGGCGACGAUCCCUAGCUGGUCUGAGAGGAUGACCAGCCACACUGGAACUGAGACACGGUCCAGACUCCUACGGGAGGCAGCAGUGGGGAAUAUUGCACAAUGGGCGCAAGCCUGAUGCAGCCAUGCCGCGUGUGUGAAGAAGGCCUUCGGGUUGUAAAGCACUUUCAGCGGGGAGGAAGGCGGUAAGGUUAAUAACCUCAUCGAUUGACGUUACCCGCAGAAGAAGCACCGGCUAACUCCGUGCCAGCAGCCGCGGUAAUACGGAGGGUGCAAGCGUUAAUCGGAAUUACUGGGCGUAAAGCGCACGCAGGCGGUCUGUCAAGUCGGAUGUGAAAUCCCCGGGCUCAACCUGGGAACUGCAUUCGAAACUGGCAGGCUAGAGUCUUGUAGAGGGGGGUAGAAUUCCAGGUGUAGCGGUGAAAUGCGUAGAGAUCUGGAGGAAUACCGGUGGCGAAGGCGGCCCCCUGGACAAAGACUGACGCUCAGGUGCGAAAGCGUGGGGAGCAAACAGGAUUAGAUACCCUGGUAGUCCACGCCGUAAACGAUGUCGAUUUGGAGGUUGUGCCCUUGAGGCGUGGCUUCCGGAGCUAACGCGUUAAAUCGACCGCCUGGGGAGUACGGCCGCAAGGUUAAAACUCAAAUGAAUUGACGGGGGCCCGCACAAGCGGUGGAGCAUGUGGUUUAAUUCGAUGCAACGCGAAGAACCUUACCUGGUCUUGACAUCCACAGAACUUUCCAGAGAUGGAUUGGUGCCUUCGGGAACUGUGAGACAGGUGCUGCAUGGCUGUCGUCAGCUCGUGUUGUGAAAUGUUGGGUUAAGUCCCGCAACGAGCGCAACCCUUAUCCUUUGUUGCCAGCGGUUCGGCCGGGAACUCAAAGGAGACUGCCAGUGAUAAACUGGAGGAAGGUGGGGAUGACGUCAAGUCAUCAUGGCCCUUACGACCAGGGCUACACACGUGCUACAAUGGCAUAUACAAAGAGAAGCGACCUCGCGAGAGCAAGCGGACCUCAUAAAGUAUGUCGUAGUCCGGAUUGGAGUCUGCAACUCGACUCCAUGAAGUCGGAAUCGCUAGUAAUCGUAGAUCAGAAUGCUACGGUGAAUACGUUCCCGGGCCUUGUACACACCGCCCGUCACACCAUGGGAGUGGGUUGCAAAAGAAGUAGGUAGC
rnacentral:rRNA from 1 species